GAUGAAGAACGUAGCGAAAUGCGAUAAGUAAUGUGAAUUGCAGAAUUCAGUGAAUCAUCGAAUCUUUGAACGCACAUUGCGCCCGCCAGUAUUCUGGCGGGCAUGCCUGUUCGAGCGUCAUUACAACCCUCAGGCCCCCGGGCCUGGCGUUGGGGAUCGGCGGAGCCCCCCGUGGGCACACGCCGUCCCCCAAAUGCAGUGGCGGUCCCGCCGCAGCUUCCAUCGCGUAGUAGCUAACACCUCGCGACUGGAGAGCGGCGCGGCCACGCCGUAAAACACCCAACUCUUCUGAAGUUGACCUCGAAUCAGGUAGGAAUACCCGCUGAACUUAAGCAUAUCAAUAAGCCGGAGGA
rnacentral:misc_RNA from 1 species